CCUACGGGAGGCAGCAGUGGGGAAUAUUGCACAAUGGAGGGAACUCUGAUGCAGCGACGCCGCGUGAGUGAAGAAGUAAUUCGUUAUGUAAAGCUCUAUCAGCAGGGAAGAAAGUGACGGUACCUGAAAAAGAAGCUCCGGCUAAAUACGUGCCAGCAGCCGCGGUAAUACGUAUGGAGCAAGCGUUAUCCGGAUUUACUGGGUGUAAAGGGAGAGUAGGUGGCAGAGCAAGUCCGAAGUGAAAACCCAAAGCUCAACUAUGGGAAUGCUUUAGAAACUGCUCAGCUAGAGUGCAGGAGAGGCAAGUGGAAGUUCUAGUGUAGGAGUGAAAUCCGUAGAUAUUAGAAGGAACACCAAUAGCGUAGGCAGGUUGCUGGGACGGUUCUGACACUAAGGCACGAAAGCGUAGGGAGCAAACGGGAUUAGAUACCCCAGUAGUC
rnacentral:rRNA from 1 species